rnacentral:rRNA from 1 species
GAUGAACGCUGGCGGCGUGCCUAAUACAUGCAAGUCGAGCGAACGGACGAGAAGCUUGCUUCUCUGAUGUUAGCGGCGGACGGGUGAGUAACACGUGGAUAACCUACCUAUAAGACUGGCAUAACUUCGGGAAACCGGAGCUAGUACCGGAUAAUAUUUUGAACCGCAUGGUUCAAAAGUGAAAGACGGUCUUGCUGUCACUUAUAGAUGGAUCCGCGCUGCAUUAGCUAGUUGGUAAGGUAACGUCUUACCAAGGCAACGAUGCAUAGCCGACCUGAGAGGGUGAUCGGCCACACUGGAACUGAGACACGGUCCAGACUCCUACGGGAGGCAGCAGUAGGGAAUCUUCCGCAAUGGGCGAAAGCCUGACGGAGCAACGCCGCGUGAGUGAUGAAGGUCUUCGGAUCGUAAAACUCUGUUAUUAGGGAAGAACAUAUGUGUAAGUAACUGUGCACAUCUUGACGGUACCUAAUCAGAAAGCCACGGCUAACUACGUG